UACGAGGGGGGCAAGCGUUGUUCGGAAUUAUUGGGCGUAAAGGGCGCGUAGGCGGUGCGGUAAGUCUGUAGUGAAAUCUCUGGGCUCAACUCAGAGUCUGCUGCAGAAACUGCCGUGCUUGAGUGUGGGAGAGGUGAGUGGAAUUCCCGGUGUAGCGGUGAAAUGCGUAGAUAUCGGGGGGAACACCUGUGGCGAAAGCGGCUCACUGGACCACAACUGACGCUGAGGCGCGAAAGCUAGGGGAGCAAACAGG
rnacentral:rRNA from 1 species